AUUGAACGCUGGCGGCAGGCCUAACACAUGCAAGUCGAGCGGAUGAAGGGAGCUUGCUCCUGGAUUCAGCGGCGGACGGGUGAGUAAUGCCUAGGAAUCUGCCUGGUAGUGGGGGAUAACGUCCGGAAACGGGCGCUAAUACCGCAUACGUCCUGAGGGAGAAAGUGGGGGAUCUUCGGACCUCACGCUAUCAGAUGAGCCUAGGUCGGAUUAGCUAGUUGGUGGGGUAAAGGCCUACCAAGGCGACGAUCCGUAACUGGUCUGAGAGGAUGAUCAGUCACACUGGAACUGAGACACGGUCCAGACUCCUACGGGAGGCAGCAGUGGGGAAUAUUGGACAAUGGGCGAAAGCCUGAUCCAGCCAUGCCGCGUGCGUGAAGAAGGUCUUCGGAUUGUAAAGCACGUUAAGUUGGGAGGAAGGGCAGUAAGUUAAUACCUUGCUGUUUUGACGUUACCAACAGAAUAAGCACCGGCUAACUUCGUG
rnacentral:rRNA from 1 species